rnacentral:rRNA from 1 species
CAGCAGCCACGGUAAGACAGAGGAUGCAAGCGUUAUCCGGAAUGAUUGGGCGUAAAGCGUCUGUAGGUGGCUUUUCAAGUCCGCCGUCAAAUCCCAGGGCUCAACCCUGGACAGGCGGUGGAAACUACCAAGCUGGAGUACGGUAGGGGCAGAGGGAAUUUCUGGUGGAGCGGUGAAAUGCGUUGAGAUCGGAAGGAACACCAACGGCGAAAGCACUCUGCUGGGCCGACACUGACACUGAGAGACGAAAGCUAGGGGAGCAAAUGGGAUUAGAUACCCCCGUAGUCCUGUCUCUUAUACA